AAAAUAAUCCAUAUUCAUCAAUGUUUUCCAUGUGAAAAUAAAAAUCCUUUCCUGACCAGCUCUAGACAGUACGUAGCAGAACGCAGUUGGUAACGAAGCAAUGCUGUUCUCCUCCCAGAGACAGACGCUCUGCCAGAGAAACCAGCAGAAUGGAAACUAAUACCUUAACCCAACGGUCAGACUCGGUGUUUGUGCAGGACAAGUUUCUCUGAGGGGACGGCAUGUCAGAGACAGAUGUACUGGAGAGGAGCAGGGAACUUUUGGAGAUGGGACAGAUGCUGCAGCUGGUACAAGGCUGAUACAGAAGGAGAGUCGUGCCUAACACGGUUUGAGUUUUACAACUGUUCCUUCGGCACUUCUUUGGAUUUUGUUUAGCUCACUUCUGCAACAACAGCUGGGAACCGUAUUUCCUUCAAAUUAUAAGUGGCUCCCCAGCUCCCCAGUGCCUGGCUGCCCACUCACCCACCCUUUAGGAGAGCAGCCCCAGGGACUGGCCAGCUGGAAGCCAGACGCUCAGCUCCCUGGGGUGCUGGGAAUCCUUGAGAGCGGUGGGUCCCAGAGAGCGUCAGCUCAGUAGCAGCUCACCAGGCAAGGUGCUGAGGCAGCAGGCAAUCAGGUGAGCAGUUGAGA
rnacentral:lncRNA from 1 species